ACCACACUUGAGAUCUCCAACCCCCUCUUCCUUUCUAUUUAUAAAAACUUUAAAAGGGCGGUUGUCGAUGCAUAUGUCUAUAAUAAAUAUUGCAGAUCUCAUUGAGUUGAUCUAGAUAUAGGUUGGCGUCGGAGGGGAAACCACUUCGCCAACAUAAACUGAUGGUUUCCCAAGGACAAGCUUAGUGUCUUAAAUAAGCAUUGAUCAGAUCGUAACAUGAGCCUUUAAUUAUUUGCAACAUUACCUUGUGUAUUGAGCAUAUAAGGAUAAUUGUAAAAAAAAAUAUAUUCCUUCGGGUAUUCUUGUCACUAACCUUUCUAAGAUUGGAGCAAGAAGAUCGGAUAAAUGACAAGCACAAGGUAUGUCCAACCAAUCAUCAUACAACAUUGAAUUAAAUUCAUCCAAACUUGAAUUUUUGCAAAAUUCAAGCUUGGGGGAGUACUUUACAUAAAAACAUCCUUUGCCAUGUUGCUAUGCUGGUUGUCCCUACCUUUGAGACAUGCUCAAUUUGUUAAAUACUAAUCACACUACUUCAUCUCCACUUGAGUAGAUCUCUAUAAACGCUGUCAUGCUACCGUUGUCUAUUUACUAGCAAGUGUUGGUUUGGAAGUACUCGCCAUACUUCCAUUGGCAUUUAAAUUAAGCAUGGUGCUUAGGUUAAAUAGCCUUCCUUAAUCUGAUUAGACAUGGAGUCUAGUUUGGUUAUUGAACUAAAAACUGCUUGAGUAGAUAUUGGUAUAUUUUGUCGGACUAACCCCUGCAGAAAAACUUUCAAUAUCGAUUUGGGAAGUCCUGAGAUAAACUCACAUCAGAGACGAAGAGAGUGACACAUGAAGUUUAACAAUUUGCACA
rnacentral:lncRNA from 1 species